CUGCAGCAGAAGUUGUGCCCAGCUGCAGUGAUGCACCUCCUCCACCAACAUAAAAAAGUAAGACACCGGAUGUUGAGGCCUGGAAGGGGUUGAGGGAGCUACUCCACAUGCCUGCAGUGGAGCUGGAAUGUCCUCCACCGAAAGCCAUCUGCAGUGUGUGUAGAGAUUUGGAGGAGGCUGAGCUAUGGCACUGUGGGGAUUGCGGCUCAGAUAAAUAUUUCUGUGCCACCUGUGCUGUGAGAACACACAGCGCUCCCAACAUCGUCCACCAUUUGGUGAUAUGGAAGUCCCGAUCUGAUGGUAGACACCACAUUUGCAGUGCCAGCCUUUCAUGCCUAUGCUCAUGAUGCUGACGACUAUCAGGUAACAAAUAUUUUUUUCUUUAUCAUUUAUUCGGUUAAACACCACUUCUUUGUAGUUGUAGACAGUUACCCUGACAGUAUUAAGAAACAGCUACUUGUAAUUUGCUCUAGUCCCUUAAUUAAUCAUCAUCACCCAUUGUAAUGCUCAUUAUGUUUUCUGAUUGUACUUUACAUUUCAGGCCACUGAUGGUACCAGGUAUGUGACUGGUAGUGGGCUUGCUGACGGAGAACAGAUGGAGAGGUUAUGGUCCUACCUUUAAAAAUGUGGGAAGAUCACAAAAGAGAUGACACCGUCUCAUUGUGUUGACAGCCUCACUGAUGCCCUCCUCUACUACACAGCCAGGGUCAGCGAGAAGCAAGGUAUACAUGUAGAACUGGAAAUCAGGGAAGUAUUGAGAUGACCCAUUGUUCAGGAUUGUGUUGAUAUCAUUUAGCAAAAAAAAAACACAGAUUUAAAAAUAUAUAUAUAUAUAUAUAUAUAUAUAUUCAUAUGUUAGAGCACCGGCAAUAGAAGUCCUGAAGGAGGAAACCGAGGCAAAAGAGGAGUUCAUGGUGCUGCUAAACAGCAUUCCAGGUUAGAUUCCAAAUCUAACCUUUUUGGGACCAAAAGUAACAAAGCCUACCAUCAGUAAAAUACUACACCGCCAGGGACUCAAAUCCUGCAGUGCCAGACGUGUCCCCCUGCUUAAGCCAGUACAUGUCCAGGCCCGUCUGAAGUUUGCUAGAGAGCAUUUGGAUGAUCCAGAAGAAGAUUGGGAGAAUGUCAUAUGGUCAGAUGAAACCAAAAUAUAACUUUUUGGUAAAAACUCAACUUGUCGUGUUUGGAGGACAAAGAAUGCUGAGUUGCAUCCAAAGAACACCAUACCUACUGUGAAGCAUGGGGUGGAAACAUCAUGCUUUGGGGCUGUUUUUCUGCAAAGGGACCAGGACGACUGAUACGUUUAAAGGAAAGUAUGAAUGGGGCCAUGUAUCGUGAGAUUUUGAGUGAAAAUCUCCUUCCAUCAGCAAGGGCAUUGAAGAUGAAAUGUGGCUGGGUCUUUCAGCAUGACAAUGAUCCCAAACACACCGAAGGAGUGGCUUCGUAAGAAGCAUUUCAAGGUCCUGGAGUGGCCUAGCCAGUCUCCAGAUCUCAACCCCAUAGAAAAUCUUUGGAGGGAGUUGAAAGUCCGUGUUGCCCAGCAACAGCCCCAAAACAUCACUGCUCUAGAGGAGAUCUGCAUGGAGGAAUGGGCCAAAAACCAGCAACAGUGUGUGAAAACCUUGUGAAGACUUACAGAAAACGUUUGACCUCUGUCAUUGCCAACAAAGGGUAUAUAACAAAGUAUUGAGAUAAACUUUUGUUAUUGACCAAAUACUUAUUUUCCACCAUAAUUUGCAAAUAAAUUCAUUAAAAAUGUGAUUUUCUGGAAUUGUUUUUCUCAUUUUGUCUGUCAUAGUUGAAGUGUACCUAUGAUGAACAUUACAGGCCUCUCUCAUAUUUUUAAGUGGGAGAACUUGCACAAUUGGUGGCUGACUAAAUACUUUUUUUGCCCCACUGUAGUUUGCAGUAAAAAUCAUGAAAAGUUAAAUUGAUAUUUUUUGGGUCAUAUGUGACCUCGUCCUCUGCUGUUCGGAUAGCCAUGAUUGUACGCUCUGACUGCUCUUUUUUAAAUUGGUAAGCAAGCAAUCUACUCGGCGUAUUGCUAUACUCAUGGUAUUUCUGUUUAGUAAAGAAAACUUUUUUUAAAUCUCCCGAGUGUAGUCCAAAUUCAGUUUGGCUUUGGCUGCUUUAAGUUGACUCCAGGAGGUGCUGUCUGGGGAUUGUUUAUGUACUUUUUCACAGCAUUCCAGCUUCCUCUCAAGAUCUAGCCUGUGUGCUUCCAUUGCUUUUUUCUUAGAGGAAGCAUAUGCAAUUAGAUGACCUCUUAGUGUGGCUUUAGCAGCGCCCCACAUUGUGGCCGGAGAAACAGGAGAAUCUUUGCUGUCUUGUGUGUAGUUGUCUAUCCAUGUAGUUACCAAUGUAUGGAACGCUUUGUUUGAUAACAUGGAGGUGUUUAAUUUCCAGCUCUUUGACCUCGGGAUGUUUUUGCAGAGGUCCAAGCGGAGGUGGGCAAAGGCGUGAUCUGAAAGUGCUAUGGGUCCGAUUGUACACGUGUCUGAAUUUAUGAAACUCUCUGGGAUAAAAAUGUAAUCUAUACGGGGUAGGUGUUAUGGACAUUAGAGUAGUAUGUAUAGUCCAUAGAUGAGCUAUUAUUCUCUCUCCAGAUAUCUAUCAGUCCCAUCUCUUUAGUAAGAGAGUUCAACAUCUUUGCAGAUCAAGGAUUUGUGGUGGGUACUUGAUGUGAUUUGUCUAGGGUUGGGUUAAGGGUACAAUUAAAAUCUCCGGCCACCACGCCAAAGGAAACACAAUGCUCAUUGAACAGGGUUAUCAUUUUUGACAUGAAAGCAGGAGUAUCUGUGUUAGGGGCGUAUAUAUUUAAGAUAGUAAUUGGUUGAUCAUACAGUGACCCAGUUAUCAAAAUAAAUCUCCCCUCCGGAUCAGAUAUGUUUUUGUCAAUUAUGAAUGGAACAUUCUUGUGGAUAAGUAUGGCUGUACCUCUGCUGUUUGAUUUGAAAGAUGAGAAAUACACCUGUCCCACCCAAGCUCUGCAGAGUUUGGCAUGUUCGGCAUCACAGAGGUGUGUCUCUUGUAAUAGCGCGAUGUCUGCUUUUGCCUUUUCUAGAGCACAUAGUAUCUUUUUCCGUUUUAUUGCAUGACCUAAACCAUGGCAGUUGCAUGUCAAUAGAUUUAAGGUGCUAGUCAUCGUCAUCGAACAGUAAUCUAACUUUAGUGCAACUCUGGGUAAAAGUGGAUAAUAGUUCCAGCUGCGUUCACAUAAAAGGAAAAUAAAUGGUGUACAUAAAAUAACAAUCUCUGAACACCCCAGCCGAGUUCCCAAACAACUCAACACAUCUAUUACCCCCCCCCCCCGCUCAGUCUCAAUUCUGUGUUCCGAAAAAACUGAAAAAAAACGAAAAAAAACGAAAAAAAACCGGGAACAGUUAGCAAAGCACAACGUGGAAUUUAAACUUGAAGUGGAGGUAAGAUUAGGAAUUGGAAACUACUUGUACGGAGCGGAGCUCUUAGUUCACGCGGCCAUCUCGUUCAAGGGUCAAGUGAUCCCCCAAGGCUAGCUUUUUCAAACAGAAAUUUGCAUCCUGUAGCACAAACUCCAAAAAGU
rnacentral:lncRNA from 13 species